rnacentral:misc_RNA from 1 species
UUAUUAAAGGCGCACCUUAGGCUCAAGGCUCGCAAGGCUCCAACCCUAAGGCCUCUAUAGGAGAAAGUUAGGUGAUCUUUUAACAGGCGCUCGCCUUAUGCACCUAGGCAUGCGCCUUGUUCUAGGCUCAAGGCUCUAAAAAGAGUCACCUUAUUUAUUUCCAUCUCUAACACCAUUAGACUUGGAAUUUGUUGAUCUACUUGAAUUUGGUGUUGAAGCAUCAACAAGUUGUCAAAAUUAGGGUUCUCAAUGAUAAAGAGACACCAAAAUCUUACCAAAUCCCCCAUAACCAAGAUUGCACAUUGUCCGCAUUUAUAUUUUCAACAUUUGUGCUCCUUUUAUCCCCCACCUCAUGCCUUGUUUUCAAUCUUCUCUCAUUAUCUCUCUCUCAUGUUGAUUGCUUGUUGGACUCUAUCAGUUUCUGAUUUAUCUAAAAUUGUCAUCUUUUGUUUUAAAAACCACCUAAAAAUGCCGCGUGGGUCCUUUAUUUCAUGAUCAUUUUGAGAGUGCUACCCACCACCACCCCCAACCCCAACUCCUCACCCCCCAACAACCCAAACACCUCCCACACCCAAAAAGACACUAACAUGCUAUUUA